UACGUAGGGGGCUAGCGUUGUCCGGAUUUAUUGGGCGUAAAGAGCUCGUAGGUGGUUCGGUUAGUCGGAUGUGAAAUCUCCAGGCUCAACCUGGAGGGGUCAUUCGAUACUGCCGUGACUAGAGUUCGGUAGAGGAGUGUGGAAUUCCUGGUGGAGCGGUGAAAUGCGCAGAGAUCAGGAGGAACACCCGUAGCGAAGGCGGCACUCUGGGCCGAUACUGACAUUGAGGAGCGAAAGCGUGGGGAGCGAACAGG
rnacentral:rRNA from 1 species